AUUGAACGCUGGCGGCAUGCCUUACACAUGCAAGUCGAACGGUAACGCGGGGCAACCUGGCGACGAGUGGCGAACGGGUGAGUAACGCAUCGGAACGUGCCUAGUAGUGGGGGAUAGCGCGGCGAAAGCCGGAUUAAUACCGCAUACGACCUACGGGGGAAAGGGGGGGAUCGCAAGACCUCUCGCUAUCGGAGCGGCCGAUGUCCGAUUAGGUAGUUGGUGGGGUAAAGGCCUACCAAGCCGACGAUCUGUAGCUGGUCUGAGAGGACGACCAGCCACACUGGGACUGAGACACGGCCCAGACUCCUACGGGAGGCAGCAGUGGGGAAUUUUGGACAAUGGGCGAAAGCCUGAUCCAGCCAUGCCGCGUGCGGGAAGAAGGCCUUCGGGUUGUAAACCGCUUUUGUCAGGGAAGAAAUCUUCUGGGUUAAUACCUCGGGAGGAUGACGGUACCUGAAGAAUAAGCACCGGCUAACUACGUGCCAGCCGCCGCAGUAA
rnacentral:rRNA from 1 species